CACGGGGGGGGCAAGCGUUGUUCGGAAUUACUGGGCGUAAAGGGCUCGUAGGCGGCCAACUAAGUCGGAUGUGAAAUCCCCAGGCUUAACCUGGGAACUGCAUCCGAUACUGGAUGGCUUGAAUUCGGGAGAGGGAUGCAGAAUUCCAGGUGUAGCGGUGAAAUGCGUAGAUAUCGGGAGGAACACCAGUGGCGAAGGCGAUCUUCUGGACGGAUACUGACGCUGAGGCGCGAAAGCUAGGGGAGCAAACAGG
rnacentral:rRNA from 1 species